GAAUGGGGAAACCCAGUGUGAUUCGUCACACUAUCAUUAACUGAAUCCAUAGGUUAAUGAGGCGAACCGGGGGAACUGAAACAUCUAAGUACCCCGAGGAAAAGAAAUCAACCGAGAUUCCCCCAGUAGCGGCGAGCGAACGGGGAGGAGCCCAGAGCCUGAAUCAGCAUGUGUGUUAGUGGAAGCGUCUGGAAAGGCGCGCGAUACAGGGUGAGAGCCCCGUACACAAAAGCGCACGUGCUGUGAGCUCGAUGAGUAGGGCGGGACACGUGGUAUCCUGUCUGAAUAUGGGGGGACCAUCCUCCAAGGCUAAAUACUCCUGACUGACCGAUAGUGAACCAGUACCGUGAGGGAAAGGCGAAAAGAACCCCGGCGAGGGGAGUGAAACAGAACCUGAAACCGUGUACGUACAAGCAGUGGGAGCCCCACCACUAAGCCAGUGGUGAACUCCACAUACGCAUCCUUUGCUGAGGAUACGGU
rnacentral:rRNA from 1 species